UCGUCUAUUUGUCAUGUCAUUGCGAAAGCAAAAUCACUCACUAACCAGAAACAUAAAGCGGUCUCUCUCUCUCUCGCCUUCGAGCUUUCUAGGGAUAUAGAAAACCAGUGCUGUUUCGAAACCCAUCAAUCGUCAUAACUAUCAUGUCGUCGUCGUCGAAGAAGAUCACCCUGAAGAGCUCUGAUGGCGAAUCGUUCGAGGUUGAAGAGGACGAUAAAGCACAUGGUCGAGGAUGAUUGUGCGGACAAUGGGAUCCCACUUCCCAACGUCACCAGCAAGAUCUUGGCCAAGGUCAUCGAGUACUGCAAGAAGCACGUCGACGCUGCCAAGCCUGAUGAGAAGAUCUCCGAGGAUGAUCUCAAGGCUUGGGAUCAGGACUUUGUCAAAGUUGACCAGGCAACCCUAUUCGAUCUCAUUCUGGCUGCAAACUACUUGAACAUCAAGAGCCUGCUGGACCUGACAUGCCAGACUGUUGCCGACAUGAUCAAGGGGAAGACCCCGGAGGAGAUCCGAAAGACCUUCAAUAUCAAGAACGACUUCACCCCGGAGGAGGAGGAGGAAGUUCGUCGCGAGAACCAGUGGGCAUUUGAAUGAAUGUGUUUCUUUAGUUGGAACUUAAAACAGUGGCAUACCCUAUCAUGUAUUCUAGUUAAUCAACUGACUUCUUAUCAUUAUCUGGUUUUAAGUACUUUUUAUGGAAGUUGUGAGUCCUUUUAAAUUGUAGAUAAAACUUGGAUUCUGGUAUUGAUAGUGGUUCGUUUCGUUCUGCUGUCAAUCCUACUGUCAGUUUACUAUUAUGAAUCAAAUCUUUUGCUGCCA